UUGACCUUGCGACUGGUUGGAUUCGCGUCGUUGUCAGCAUGUUUAUUGUUGUAUAAUUCCUUCUGUUUACACUGGCAGCAGCAUCAACGAAGAGAGGGUACGGCGUCAACAACCACGUGUUCCUCUGUAACGACACGUACGCGUUAACGGAGUCGUCAUGGUGGUACAACUGGAGAACGAACUAUAUCGACUUUAUCCACGAGGGCUGCACUCCGAGGGGGGAGUUCGUUCCAAUGGUUUGGAGUUUCCAGAUUAACUACACCCAGCAUAUAUCUCACUCGUUUAACUACAUCCUGGGAUAUAACGAACCAAAUGAACGCGACCAAUCAAAUGUCACUCCUCAACUUGCUGCUUCUCAUUGGCCAGAAAUCGAAAAACUUGGGCAGGACAAACUGCUCGUAAGCCCCGCCCCUGCUCGAUGCAAUGGCUGGCAUCUUUGCUUCAAGGAACCCACCGAUUGGCUGGACGAGUUUUUCAAGGCAUGUAAUGGCUGCCGGGUUGACUUCCUGGCUGCGCACACAUACAAUUGUGACCCGGAUAACGACAUGCGCUAUCUGGAGUCUCUGUACAAUCGGUACGGUAAACAAAUAUGGCUGACAGAGUUUUCCUGUCCGAAGACAAUGUCUGUGCAAAAAGAACUGGAUUACAUGAAGCAGAUAGUACCUAGACUUGAAGCGGCGCCAUUCAUAUACCGGUAUGCGUGGUACAUCACCCGACAGCCUGAUACUGACUAUCUCACAUCGGCUGUCAACCUGCUGAAACCAAACAUAUCUGAGUUGACGUAUCUAGGACACGUGUACAACUCACUGCCGGGGGUGUAGAGUUUAAUAUGACCCAAAUACUGUCUAGAUUUCGUAUACAGGGUUAUGACACUAUAAUGCCUUGAUUUGAUUUUAUGAUUUCUAUGUAACAUUAAUAUAAUUCUGGAAAAAUU